UUAAGGAAACUAAGAAAAUUCUUUGCCAACAGAACUACUCUGAAAUAAUUGCUACAGGAAUUGCCAGGCAAAGGGAAUAUAAUGCCAGAAAGAAACCUGGAACAUCAAGGAUAAAGGAAGAGCAAAGGAAACGAAAAUGUAUCCAGAAAAAGAAUGAAAAAAAUUAUUUCAAGGAGAGAGGGAAAUGUGUGAAAAUCCCAGCGGGAUUAUACAAGUGCAAGUAAUUCAAUGUGGUGGAAGGAUCAAGAGCGAGAAGAAACUGGCAAGAGAUUAACUUGAAUUGGGAAACGUAGGAGUCAGAGAAAUAAGAAGACAUACAAUAAAUGAAUGGAUAAAUAGA